rnacentral:rRNA from 1 species
UACGGAGGGUGCAAGCGUUAUCCGGAUUCACUGGGUUUAAAGGGUGCGUAGGCGGGUUGGUAAGUCAGUGGUGAAAUCUUCAAGCUUAACUUGGAAACUGCCGUUGAUACUAUCAAUCUUGAAUAUUGUGGAGGUAAGCGGAAUAUGUCAUGUAGCGGUGAAAUGCUUAGAUAUGACAUAGAACACCGAUAGCGAAGGCAAUCCCCUGGACCUGUACUGACGCUCAUGCACGAAAGCGUGGGGAGCAAACAGG